rnacentral:rRNA from 1 species
UACAGAGGUCUCAAGCGUUGUUCGGAUUCAUUGGGCGUAAAGGGUGCGUAGGUGGCGCGGUAAGUCGGGUGUGAAAUUUCGGAGCUUAACUCCGAAACUGCAUUCGAUACUGCCUGUGCUUGAGGGACUGGAGAGGAGACUGGUAAAUUUACGGUGUAGCAGUGAAAUGCGUAGAGAUCGUAAGGAAGACCAGUGGCGAAGGCGGGUCUCUGGACAGUUCCUGACACUGAGGCAACGAAGGCCAGGGGAGCAAACGGG